rnacentral:rRNA from 1 species
AUUGAACGCUGGCGGCAGGCUUAACACAUGCAAGUCGAGCGGAGCGAGGGUGCUUGCACCUCAGCUUAGCGGCGGACGGGUGAGUAAUGCUUAGGAAUCUGCCUAUUAGUGGGGGACAACAUUCCGAAAGGAAUGCUAAUACCGCAUACGUCCUACGGCGGAUAGCAGGUGAUCUUCGGAUCUUGCGUUAAUAGAUGAGCCUAAGGCGGAUUAGCUAGUUGGUGGGGUAAAGGCCUACCAAGGCGACGAUCUGUAGCGGGUGUGAGAGGAUGAUCCGCCACACUGGGACUGAGACACGGCCCAGACUCCUACGGGAGGCAGCAGUGGGGAAUAUUGGACAAUGGGCGGAAGCCUGAUCCAGCCAUGCCGCGUGUGUGAAGAAGGCCUUUUGGUUGUAAAGCACUUUAAGCGAGGAGGAGGCUACUAGUAUUAAUACUACUGGAUAGUGGACGUUACUCGCAGAAUAAGCACCGGCUAACUCUGUGCCAGCCGCCGCCGUAACAC